CGUAGGGGGCAAGCGUUGUCCGGAUUUACUGGGCGUAAAGAGCGUGUAGGCGGCCAAACAGGUCCGUUGUGAAAACUGGAGGCUUAACCUCCAGACGUCGACGGAAACCGUGUGGCUAGAGUCCGGAAGAGGAGAGUGGAAUUCCUGGUGUAGCGGUGAAAUGCGCAGAUAUCAGGAAGAACACCAAUGGCGAAGGCAGCCCUCUGGGACGGUACUGACGCUGAGACGCGAAAGCGUGGGGAGCGAACAGGAUUAGAUACCCUGGUAGUCCACGCCGUAAACGAUGGGUGCUAGGUGUGGGAGGUGUCGACUCCUUCCGUGCCGUAGCUAACGCAUUAAGCACCCCGCCUGGGGAGUACGGCCGCAAGGCUA
rnacentral:rRNA from 1 species